GGCCAGCAUGGCACAGUGGUUUGAGCAUUGGACUGUGACUGUGGAGACCAGGGCUCGACUCCCAGUUUGGCCA